rnacentral:rRNA from 1 species
CCUACGGGGGGCAGCAGUCGAGAAUCAUUCACAAUGGGGGAAACCCUGAUGGUGCGACGCCGCGUGGGGGAAUGAAGGUCUUCGGAUUGUAAACCCCUGUCAUGUGGGAGCAAAUUAAAAAGAUAGUACCACAAGAGGAAGAGACGGCUAACUCUGUGCCAGCAGCCGCGGUAAUACAGAGGUCUCAAGCGUUGUUCGGAAUCACUGGGCGUAAAGCGUGCGUAGGCUGUUUCGUAAGUCGUGGGUGAAAGGCGCGGGCUCAACCCGCGGACGGCACAUGAUACUGCGAGACUAGAGUAAGGGAGGGGGAACCGGAAUUCGCGGUGUAGCAGUGAAAUGCGUAGAUAUCGAGAGGAACACUCGUGGCGAAGGCGGGUUCCUGGACAUUAACUGACGCUGAGGCACGAAGGCCAGGGGAGCGAAAGGGAUUAGAUACCCCAGUAGUC